UUUACUGUAGUUUACUCUGUGCCCACGGGAAUGAUUCAAUAUGAAGCUAGAAUUAAUUAUAGGAAUAGAUUAUGCUGGAGCCCAGCCAUCUUGAGAUGAACCAUACGACCCUUUACAGGACUCUUCUGGUCAUAGCUCCACAGUGCCACACGAUGGCAGCAUUUCUGAAAAAAGAUUUCAGACCACAAUCUGGUUCUACCAAUUUUCUUAAUUCCAGCGGGAUAGAACACUCGUGUAUUUAAUGACAGGACUAUAUACAGCUGUGGAGCUCUCCAUUUCUUGGAAUGCCAGUCAGGACACGGCAAGAAGAUGGCCAUCUGUGAACCAGAAGGAGAGCCCUCAGCAGAACUCAACCAUGCUGGCACCCGGAUCCUGGACUUCCCAGCCUCCAGACUAGGUAUUCAUCUGCCUAAAGGAGUGUUUUCUUUUUCUUUCCUUUCUUUCUUGCUUCUUUUUAAACAGAAAAUCUGCAAAUAGAAGAAUCUUCUGACAUUUAAAAGAAAAGUCCUUGGAAGAAUAAUGGGAUGAAAAAGAGAAAGCAGAGGAGGAGAGUAAAGUAUUUAUAUCUAUAUUUCAAUUCAUUCUUUUAUUUUGGUGGGGGAAGGGGCAGGAUCUGUAAAUAUGCUGCUUCAUAUCCUGGGUUUUAUCACUCUUGGGUGCAGCCAACUUUCAGUAAGCUUGGCAGAACAAUGUGGUCAGGAAGAAAGAGCUGAGAUUGACUAUACCCUAUGCCACUCGCUAUUUCUCUGUAGCAUAGACUAAAUAUAGAAGUGUCUGAGCAUCUGGUCUGGAGGUUUCCAGAGAGUGUUGCCAUAGAGGAAGUGAAGUGGCUCUAAAAGGAGCAGUGUAGAUGGAGUACAUACUAGGGACAAAUGUGAGUCAUACUCAAACAGAGAGAAGUCUAAAUUGCCUAUGGGAGCUAAGAGAGGCUGAGUCACCAUGGCCCUAGUCAAGACUAUACUAAGUGAAUCCUAAGCUAUGGUAGCCAACAACUUCAUUUUAGAAUGAAGCAGGGCAAGAAGCAUUCAAGUGGUUAGGCAACAUUAUCCCAUGCAUGUCUGAAGAUUCCAAGUCUUCCUCUUCACUAUGGUGUAAGCCAUGUUUGUCCAUUUGGUGCAUGGUAUGUAGUGGAUGGUGUAAGCCACACCUGGAUGCCAUAUUAGAGGGAGAAGGAGGGGGAGUGAGGAUCUGAGCAUUUUUAACUAAAAGAGACUGAUUUAUUUAAAUAACUAUUUUAGCUAUUAGAUAACCUUAAGUUUAAACAGAUUGAAUUUAAUUUCUGCACAUUCCCUUGCCCCUCCAUGAGGAGCUCUUGAGCAACAGAACAAUUAUAGACAGACUAAAUGUCAUUUUUUCUUUUCACCCCCAAAUUGUAGGAUGAGCUGGAAUAUACAACAUCCCUACAUAGGCCUUUGAAUUGAUGAGUAAUAUGAAAUCAACAUAGGAGAUACUUAUUGAGAGGUUGGAACAUGGAAGAAAUUAGGGUGGGUGCUGCAUGUUCUAAGCAAUAUCUGGCGAUAUUUAUUGGCAAAGGCAGUGAUCCUGAGGGGUAUGGAGGGUGGGGGUAGGUCUGUGAGGCAGAGACAUCAUAUCCAAUUAGGUCUGCACAGACAAACAGAGUGCCGGAGACUUGUAGAAGAUGGAAUGCCAGGGUGAAGAAUUUGGUUUUAUUUUGUAGAGUAUGAAGAGCUAGUGAAAGUUCACAGGAGAUUAACAAAAUAAAAAUUAAAGAUUUAGGAGGAACAAUGGUAAGAAAGAACACGUAGGAGGCUUUUGCAGUAUCCAGUAAUGAGAUGUAAUCACUUGGAUUAGGAUUACGCCAAAGAAAAACAUUACAAAGAAAAAAACCCCUUCUUCUGGUGCCCAAGCAGAAAAAGCCUUAAUAACUAAAAUGGACUGGAAUGUUAACAUGUAAAAAUGAAGAUAGGGUGAAAAAGACAAGGGCUUUAAUGUUAGACAUAUUGAUGUUAAGGGAAUAUAGAACCUGAGCUCAAAAAGCAAUAUACAGUUAGAGAUAGAGAAUUGGGUAUCACAGGCUCUUGGUGUGUCCCAGUACAAGUCCUUCCCAGUUUUCAUAGCCCAUGGUGAACUCUUCUUUCCUUGAACAUCUUACAUGCUAAUUGUUUAUUACUUUUCAGAUCCUAUUGUUUCACUUAUACAUAGUUGUAAUAUUUUCAAUAAUUUUUAACCUGAAACUAGUGUCCAUUUUUCCUGAUGCAACACCUAAUAAGGUUAUUUCCUCUUUCCUAUGAAACCCUCCCAACAUUUGAAAAAGUUUAGUGUUCCUUCGAACUCGCUGGCUGCUUUCUCUUCUCCAGGUUGACACUACAGUUCUCUUGUGUUAGGUGACUACGUUCAGACCCAUCACCUGAUUAUGAAUUCCCUUUUGUUUGUGGGGUCCCAAAUCAGACCUUGACUCUGAUGUGGCCUGAUCGACCCCAAGCACGGGGCAUCCAUCCACUUCCUUGCCUUGACCACAGCCCUAUUUUUACUAAUACAACUUAAUUUUGUGCUUUUUGACCACCACUUCAAUUUGUUGGCUCUUGUCAAGCAUGUGGACAUCUUAGAUGUGUUCAUUAAAGAUGUCAGAAUACACGAGAGCUCCCUGAUGGAGAGAAAAAGAGCAUGCAGCCAGAAGCUCAUAGUAUUUGGUCAAGUGUGUAGGGAAGGUAGCAAAGAAAAUAGAAAAACCAAAUGCAGGGAAGCCAGGAUCAUAGGGAAUAUGUUGAGUGAAACAGUAGGCAGGAAUUGCCAAAUAGUCUUUCUUUAUCCCUCAGUCCAGUGCUCACGAGAGUAGCUGUGCUAUGGAAAGUACACAUGCAUUAGAAUCAGUUGCCUCACUGCCGUUUAUGCGCUGUGUGAUUUUGGGAGCAUUAUUUUACUUCUCUGAGCCUUAGCUUUUUUAGCUGUAAAAUAAAAAUGAUAUCUACCUUUCAGUAUUUUUGGGGAGAAUUAAAUGAUUUUUAUUAAAUAAUGCAUGUAAAGCAUAUAGAACUGGGCAUAGCCCUUUAAUGAAUGAUAGUUUCUUUCCUAGAUGAUAUUAAUGAUAGUCAUGUAAUUACUGGAUACACAACUGUUUUCCCAGUCUCUGGACUUCUCUAAUAUUGGUUGUACAGGCAGAUGAAGAUGGACAAACUCUGGACCCCCCUGCUCUUGAAUUGCCCAAGUGUCAUCCUCGGGCUGUGUGUUCUGUAAGCUUGUAGCCGUCGAUGGGAUGUUAUCUGAAAUAGAUUUUGACUGGACUCUCUCUUUUUUUUCACUCCCAAACAGAAGUACUGUUCUGCUUGGAGGACUGUCUGCUUUUAUAUAUGUAUCUUAUUAACUGUUGGAAGUAGUGGGGAAAUGGUUGAAUCAGCUCACAUUUGAAUCUCAAAAUAAAAAUGGCUUUUAGAAGUGCCCUCUACUUUUAAGAAGCUAGCUAAUAUAUGGUCUGCAAAAGUGCCAAUGUGUAAUAUUUGUAAAAUAUAAUUUGAAAUUACUUAUUUGUAAAAUUAUGGCAUUAUUGUUCAUUAAUUUUUUAAUAUUGGUGGGUAUAUUCUGAAAUAAGAUUUUGCCAUAAGAAAAAAAUAGAAAUAAACUUUGUAGUAUAUCACUAAAUAAAAAGUAUUUUAAAUAUUUGACUUGAGUAAUUGAGUCUUGGAAAGUUUUACUUGGAGACAUUUAUGUUUUCCUUUGCAAUCAAGUUCAUUGUUGUUUGUUUACUCAUGACUAAGAUAACCUUUUGAGUUAAACACUAAAUCUAAACUCAGUAGAUUAUAAUAAUCUCUUCCUAAUUUUUUCUCUCCCUUGUCUGAAGUGGGAAGUUAUGUUUUAUUUUUGGUGCUUCUCUGCUUUUAAAAAAGUAACAUGUACACUAAUGAAUUGUGUGCAUUUUAUUAGAAGACUGAGUAGAAUAAUUUUAUAAACGAAAACAUGAAAUAACUUUUAACCUGUGGUAUAUGACGGCUAUUUUUGCAUUGAAGAAAAUAUCAGAAAAUAGAAAAAAACUUUUCUUACAUUUGCUUGUGUUAAAUGAUUUCUGACUGUUUGAUGGUCUAUGUACCAGUUGGCUGGCUGCUUUUCUAUGCUCUGCUUUUCUGUCUCCAUGCUUUGGUUCCUAUGAGUUUUUUCAUGGAAAACGGCCUCACCCAUUCACUUCUGUUUGCUCAAAUCCUACCCAUCCUCCAUGGCCCCGCACAAUUAUUUCCAUUAUGAACACCAGAGGCCAGGAACUAAUUUCUUUCUACUCCAAGCCCUUAAAGCAUGAUCUUUUUUUCCUUCUGGGUACUACUCACAUAGCACCUCCCAUAUUCUGUCUUGUUUUACAAUAAUUUUUGUAAGUGCCUUUUGUUUCUUUUCUAACUCUAAGAUCCUGGAGAGAAAGAAUUUGUUUUCUCCAUCAUUUUAUCUCACAUAGUAUCUUACACACCAGUUAAGAACUCCACAUAUAUUUGGCAAAUGGAUAUGUUUUAACUUAUUUACAGUUAGAUGUAGUCUUAGAGAUGUCAUCUAAAGGAUAUCGAUGGCAGAAGAAAAUAACAUUCUGAAGGGAAACUAUUACUUCCAUGGGAAAUAAAACCAGAUUUGGAAAAAGUAAAUAGCCCUUUUGCUGAUGGCAUUUCAAGCUAUUUCCAGCCCUUAGGCCGAUGAAUCUACAAGAAGGGACUGAGUGAAAAGAAUUAUUGUCAUUGUAGUGACAAGGGCCUCAUUCUUUUACUUCUGAGCAACCCAACACAGAUGGAGUUAUCCGUAGAAUGAAUUUAACAGACAGUAAAAUGUGUCACUCAUUAGGCCAAAAUGGUUUCUCCUCUUAGCCGUCCCCUGCUGAGAUCCCCACCAUCAGAGCAUAUGGUAGAAUAUGUCAAGAAAACUUUCUUAUAAAACACCAAAUGUUACUCAGAAGCAGUAACACAGCAGUCCAUGGGCACCUGGGGUCCAUGAGUAUCACACCUGCAGCCACAGGUCCUGAAGCAGAGCGAGAUGUGGGCCGAGGCAUGGGAUGGGGAUCAGGAAGAUUCUGGGACCCAGAGUUUUGUAGUAGAGAGGCUUGAGGAGCCUGGGGAGUGAGGGAAGGGACAAAAGUGCCAGCCAUAAGACAGAAACCGCAGAGCAAGCAAAAGUAAACUUUGCCUCCCCUACAUUUUCCUCUAGGGCUAGUCCAGAGUUUAGUCAUGCUAAGAAUGGUCAUUCAGAGAUUCAGCUUACCUUUACA